UGAACGCUGGCGGCGUGCCUAAUACAUGCAAGUCGAGCGAACAGACGCGGAGCUUGCUCCUCUGACGUUAGCGGCGGACGGGUGAGUAACACGUGGAUAACCUACCUAUAAGACUGGGAUAACUUUGGGAAACCGGAGCUAAUACCGGAUAAUAUAUUGAACCGCAUGGUUCAAUAGUGAAAGACGGUUUUGCUGUCACUUAUAGAUGGAUCCGCGCCGCAUUAGCUAGUUGGUAAGGUAACGGCUUACCAAGGCGACGAUGCGUAGCCGACCUGAGAGGGUGAUCGGCCACACUGGAACUGAGACACGGUCCAGACUCCUACGGGAGGCAGCAGUAGGGAAUCUUCCGCAAUGGGCGAAAGCCUGACGGAGCAACGCCGCGUGAGUGAUGAAGGUCUUCGGAUCGUAAAACUCUGUUAUUAGGGAAGAACAAAUGUGUAAGUAACUAUGCACGUCUUGACGGUACCUAAUCAGAAAGCCACGGCUAACUACGUG
rnacentral:rRNA from 1 species